rnacentral:rRNA from 1 species
CAGGCCUAACACAUGCAAGUCGAACGGCAGCACAGAGGAGCUUGCUCCUUGGGUGGCGAGUGGCGGACGGGUGAGGAAUACAUCGGAAUCUACUUUUUCGUGGGGGAUAACGUAGGGAAACUUACGCUAAUACCGCAUACGACCUACGGGUGAAAGCAGGGGAUCUUCGGACCUUGCGCGAUUGAAUGAGCCGAUGUCGGAUUAGCUAGUUGGCGGGGUAAAGGCCCACCAAGGCGACGAUCCGUAGCUGGUCUGAGAGGAUGAUCAGCCACACUGGAACUGAGACACGGUCCAGACUCCUACGGGAGGCAGCAGUGGGGAAUAUUGGACAAUGGGGGCAACCCUGAUCCAGCCAUGCCGCGUGUGUGAAGAAGGCCUUCGGGUUGUAAAGCACUUUUGUUGGGGAAGAAACCGGCCGGGUUAAUACCCUGGUUGAAUGACGGUACCCAAAGAAUAAGCACCGGCUAACUUCGUGCCAGAAGCCGCGGUAAUAAGGGC